GACAUAACUAUACAAUGUCUGUGUUGCAGAUUGCCUGUAUGUCUGAAACCCCUCUUAUCCCCCAGUAUGUUUGAGACAGUAUACAGCUCGUUAUACAGAAUGAGCUCUGGGCUCCAGAGAUAGCCUCCAGGGAGAGGCUGAGCUGGUAUGCUGCUCACCCCGCUGCCAGGCCUCCCUCCCCUGGGUACCACCUCUCCUUCAUGGGCUCUCCUCUGUCUGGCUCUCUGGCUGAGAUGUAGCAUAGCGUAGCACUAGACUGGAGAUCCAGCCCUGGAUGUAGCAUAGCGUAGCACUAGACUGGAGAUCCAGCCCUGGAUGUAGCAUAGCGUAGCACUAGACUGGAGAUCC
rnacentral:lncRNA from 1 species